GAGAGCUUUUAAUAUAGAGAGAAACAAAUGUUAGGAAAUAAAGUCCUUCUGCUGUAUCUAAUGUGAUAUAAGAGAAUACUGUAGUUAUGUUCUUAAAUAUGUGAAAGAAAAGAAAUCAUGUUUGCUUUAAUUUAAACACUUAAAAAGAAUGACCAUAUCAUCAAUUCUAGAAAUAGUUUAUUAAAUUUAUAACAAGUGACAGUGAUGUAAGCACUAUGGCUAGAAAUGCUAGUAUUAUUGUAAAUAUGUAAAGUUGGCUGUAUCCUAGAAAUAAGACAAUUUUGAUCACCUGGAGUCAUUUUAUGCUUAUAAAUUUUUCAUGACCAUUUAGCAAAUGUACUUUGCAUUACAACAUUUAAAUAUCUCUUAAAUGGAACACGUGGGUUAAAUGUAGGAAAUAAUUGUAUGUACUGAAUGUUUGUUUUGAUUUUUCCAGCUUUAAAAUAUAGACGCUGGUAAAAUAUAAAUCCUGUGUGCAUUACCCAUUGCAACUGAGCUCAAUUCUUUUCCAGUGUCAUUUCGAGUUCCCUGUUGCCAUAGUUGCUGCUAAGAAAAUGCGUUUUUCCAAAAGAUUUAUAAAUAAUGAUUGCAAUGUUUUUAGCUCUUUGUAGUGAAAUACAAUAUCCAAAGCCUCUGAGAAGAAUAUAAAUCCAAGCACUAGGGAGCCAUUCAGGUCACACUUGAGUCUUGUUACAAGUAGGGCAAGAAAAGUGUCGCACUGGUAUCCAUUAAUGUGCAUUCUCCUGCCCACUCAAAAGAUAAAUUCUGUGUACUUAGGUUCUGAAGACAUAUAUAAGACUGUCUUUAAGCUUUAUAUCUGCUUUCGUUGCUCCAACAUCUUGUCAAACAGAAAAAGGUGGCAUUUAUUAACCCUUUUCCUUUCAAAUAUUGCUUGCUGUCAUCAUUCUUCUAAAUGGUAACUUAAAAGACUUAGUUUGUAUGAACAAGUUUUGCCAAUUGCUUGCAUUCUUAAUGUCUCUGAAAAUUAGGUAAAUGCUAAUUUUUAGUGUUACAGGGAAUCAAAGAUCUCUACAUUUGAUAAGUUGAUUUUAAUUAUGACUCCAUAUAAGUUGAAAAUAAAUAUUCAAGCACCAUUUCCCUCAUUUUUUUCUCCAACAAUCAGCACUAUUUAGUAAUUGAAUAAUUCAUUAAGUUAUCCUACAUAUAGUACAAGCCUUCUGAAGUACAAAAUGUACUCAAAAAACAAAAAAGCUGAAAGCAGAGAAUAAUGAUAACCUAUAAAUGUCUACCAUCCAGAAAUAAGGAAAAUUUUAAUGUUUUUGAUGUACACACAUACACAUAAAUCUGCACAUAGGUACACACAUCUGAUAAACAUGUAUGUGGCAUAGACACACAUAUUACUUGGCUAGUCUAGGCUAUGAUGCAGUAGCAAAACCAAAUUUCAGUGAGUUGAAAAAACAAAAGUUUAUUUUUCCCUCAUCCUUAUGCUCGACACCGUCAGCUGGAAGAGUUUACUUCCCUUGGUUACUCAAGGACCCUAGGCGGGCAGAGUUCCACCAUCUCAUUGUGAGGCGUCAGGGUUUACCCUGGCAGGGAGGCGGGGCUGGUGCUGCAGGCUCCCACAGCAGCAAGCAAAUGUUUUGGCCGUAGUCCAGUAGCCACAGGUAGUCACAUGACCCUGACUAAUGGCAAAUGAUGGAUAAAAGAAGUUGACCUGGAAGAUAAUGAGGAUCAUUCCAUGGUGAUGUUGUAACAUCGCUUUGCUAGAGUUUCUUUGAAAACUCUGAACGAAGGAAUACUCUGAAGGAAAGCAAAAGGUCCCUGUUUUCAUUACCUUACUUGCAUGUUAAAAUUAUAUUGUGAUAUUGUCUCCAUAUCGGAUCAUUAACUCUUAAGUAAAGGUAAGACUUAAUUAAUUCUUUAUUGCUAGAACAAAGCCACGUCUUCACUUUGGCUCAGUGUAUAAGCUCAAAGGGACAUCUUGUUCAUCCCACAGGGGGAUUUUUUUCUAUUGUGAUUAAGAAGACUUAGCAUGAGAUCUACCCUCUUAAUAAUUUUUAAGUGCACAGUACAGUGUUAACUAUAGGCACAAUGUUAUACUAAGUCCCUACAUUUCAGUUUCCUCUAAGACUCAGGAUGUAGCCUUGUAACAGAGGAGCUGAAUGGCUGGUUGACAUUUUGGUUCCAUGUUCGUUACAUAUCUCUUCCUUAUCUACUCUACUACAAGGAUAGAUGAAGUAAAGCACUUUUCUCUCUGCUGGAGUGCCGUCAAACAAAGGAUUGAUUACCCCUUCCUAACAACCCUCAAGUCUCCCUAGCAUAUCUGAACCGAAGCUAGCUGGCAGAUAAGAGAAGAGGAUAGCUCAGCCUAUCCCAUUAGUCCCAUAUAGGUUGUGAGAGUCCUGAGCUUGGAUGUUAUAGAUUUCAGCACCCACUGGGAAAGGACAGCUCAUGAAAAAGUCUUUGUUUUUUGCUGUGGAAGAUAACCUAGGGCCUACUUUCAAGUUCUUUUACAGUAAAAUGGUGGCAGCUAAUGUUAUUGAAAAUGUACUAUGUGCCAGGUACAUUAAUAUGUAUUACGCUUAAUUUGUAUUACAUUUAUAUGCUUAAUAUAUAUUCAUUUGUUCUUAAUGAGAACCCUAUGAGAUAAGUGCUAUUAUCAUGAAGUCCAUUUUGUAGGUGAGGAAGCUGAGGCCAAGAAAAUUUAAGGGACAUGACCAGAUGAUGCAGUGACUUGAGAAGCUGAUUGAGAUUCAAAGCCAGUCCAUCUAGCUCCAGAAUUCCUGCAUUUCACCAUUAGUCUACACUGCCCAUCUCCUAGAUAUCAGAUUGGCAGUGUUCCUCAGAUGCUUGCCAAGACAUCACUUUGCAAGCUAAAGUUAUCAUUGAUAGUACUUAAAACAAAAUGAAAAUUAUAUUUAAGAAUGUCAUUCUUGACAGAAUGACCUACCAAUAUAUUUUGUUUCCCUGUAUCAUUUGUAGGAGUUAACUGUGUUGAUGAGAGUUGCUAUGCCACUGAUUCAGAACAAUUAACUUUGAUUAGUAGAUCAAUUUGCGACCUUGAAACAUAAUUUUGACAGAUAAAAUUCUUCAAAUAGUAUAUUUUCUGCAUUCUUAAUGAAAUACAAUAUAGUGCAUUAUGUGAUCAGUGGGUACAAAGAAAUAAGAUUGCUUGCGUGAAAACAACAGCUCAUUUCUAAAAUGUUUCAUUUCACUUUAUUCUCAAAGACUGAGUGCACAAAAUAAAUACAACACCUUUUUUUUAACCAAGAAAAAGAUUGUAUAAACAAUUGUACCAGAAGUAAAUUAUAUAUACUAACCACCUUGGGGUUUUUGUAUCAGACACAGCAUGGUAUAAAGUAAAGGGCACAUAUUUUCAAACAAAAUAACAAAUUUGCAUUCUCAAACUAUAUUAUAAUU